AGGACGAACGCUGGCGGCGUGCCUAACACAUGCAAGUCGAGCGGGGAGAGCCUUCGGGCUCUUCCAGCGGCGGACGGGUGAGUAACGCGUGAGCAACCUUUCCUUCACAGGGGGAUAACGCAGCGAAAGCUGUGCUAAUACCGCAUAAGACCACAAUGUCACAUGGACGAAAGGGGUCAAAGGAGAAAUCCAGUGAAGGGUGGGCUCGCGUCUGAUUAGCUAGUUGGCGGGGUAACGGCCCACCAAGGUGACGAUCAGUAGCCGACCUGAGAGGGUGAUCGGCCACACUGGGACUGAGACACGGCCCAGACUCCUACGGGAGGCAGCAGGUGGGGAAUAUUGGGCAAUGGGCGAAAGCCUGACCCAGCAACGCCGCGUGAGGGAAGUAAGGUUUUCGGAUCGUAAACCUCUGUCCUUGGGGACGAAAUAAAUGACGGUACCCAAGGAGGAAGCCCCGGCUAACUACGUG
rnacentral:rRNA from 1 species